UUACAAAAACCACAUUUUUUUUUAUUAUCUUCUAUCAUUUCCAGCUUUGAUUUUGAGAUUAUUCAACUUCUGUUUAGUUAUUCAUUCCAUCUUGGCUCUUCAUUGUUGGAUUUGAGUUUCUAUAGAAUUGCAAGACAUACUUUUGUGUUGAUAUAUUCUUUGCUCUUAAUCGUUUCUAUGAUCUUGGCUCUAUUUUAACUUAAUUUUCAUUAUUCAUGGCACGGUUACUUGAUCAGAGUUUGCAGAUUGCAGAUUGUUGUUACCUAGGCUCUUCAAUUCUUCAUUGUUGUCUUUUAAACCCUAAUAAAUUAUAAGACAUAAUUUUGUGUUGAUAUAUUAUUUUUCAUUAUACAUUUCAGGAUCUUGGGUCUGUUUAACAUACUUUUUGUACUUUAGGCCAUAGUUUCUUUAAUUCAAAAUAAAUUGUUGGGAUCUUGGGGCUUCUUAUGGAUGAAUUUAGACUCUAUCCAAUUAUGAGAAUCUAUUCAUAUCAUUUUGUCAUUCAUU